GGGUCAGUAGGUUGGUCGUGCCACCGGUACGUACUGGUCUCACUGAUCCCUCCUUCCUGAAGAACCGUAAUGCCAUUAAUUUGGUGUUGCGGGGAAACAGGACUGUUACUUUGAAAAAAUUAGAGUGUUUAAAGCAAGCUAACGCUUGAAUACAUUAGCAUGGAAUAAUGAAAUAGGGCGAUCGAUCCUAUUUUGUUGGUUUCUAGGAUUGACGUA
rnacentral:rRNA from 1 species